rnacentral:piRNA from 1 species
UACAUGGCAGAGGUUAUGUUUUCUUAAU